rnacentral:lncRNA from 1 species
GCCCGGCCGAGUUCCCUCCACGCGCCGCCGCCGCCGCCGGAGUCGCCGCGAGGACCGGGACCUCACGGAGGCCGGCUCACGAAACCCGACUGUCUCGCGAGUCGCCUGAGUUUAGUUCCGCCUACGUACUGCCGGGCUACAGCGCCCCUACUCUCCCCGCCUGGGGAAACGCGAAGCUGUGCAGGCCACCUUCCUGGAAGUGAGGGCAAGGGGCGACAGCGGCGCCGGAAUUCUAUACAGGCAGCGCUUCGGACACCUACCGUGACGUAAUCUCCGCGCGAGGUGGGGCGGGGCUCCACGGGGGCCUCACCCUGAAAAGACCCCCGAGGGGCGGAAGCCGUCAAUAGAGAAGCGGCGGCCCUAGGUGCCUUGGUUUCCGGUGAGUGUUUUUUCUGUUCUGAAGUAUUGUACUUUGUCAACUACAGCCUGGGACGACAGCUGAACUGGCCGGGAGGGCAAUCUGAGGGUCUGGACUGAGAGGCCGGAGUCGGCGCCUUUUUCGAUCUGCCGAGGUCAUGGUAGAUAUGAGGUCUUCUUUGCCUCUUGGCUUUUCACGCCGUUUUCUCUGCCGGAGCUGUUUUCUGAUUACUGCUUGUUUUUCUAGGCCGUUAAGAUCCCGUCCUCUUUGUGAGCCUUCCCUACUUUCUGGCUGUAAUGUCUUCACUCUCCCUCGCCUCUUUUCCAGCCUUUGUAUACCGCCCACCACUUCUUUUCUCUUGGUCUGCUUAUCCCGCUAGAGCCCUCUUUUGAAUCCCAGAUUGGGCCAGGGCCCUCGAAUUUCUCUGGAUCAGAGGAAAGUGAUGCUCUUGCUACCGACUCUGCGCCGUGGGGCAGGGAUCAGAGUCCAUCCAUCUCUAACUUCUGUGCAGGACCACCGAUUUAGGAAUCAGGAUCCCCUAAUCAGAGUCAGACUUUGACAGUUUCCAGUUGUGCAACUCUGAGACCACCUCUUAGUUUGAUUCCUCGUCUGUAAGUUUAUGGAGAGAUUAUGAAAAGAGGCGCUCAGGAGUAGGGGCGAGACCUUAUAAAUGGAUCACAAAGUGAGACGGACUCAAUGAGUUUGGGAGACAUGAGUCUCCUAUGCUUAAAGAUAAGAGAUAACCUGAGCUCUCCUUGCCAACUAGGAAAUGCUAUGUAGUCUGAAAAAUAUGCUUUGCUCUUUAGAUUUGGACUUGCCUAUUGUACGGACUUUACCUGACUUUAUAGAACACGUUCCUUGGAUCUGAACGUGACUUUGGCAAUCAGCUAAUCUACUCCCUAAUUUUACAGAUAAGACUGAAGACCAAAGAGGGAAAGUGAUCUCUCCAAAGUCACUAAAUAAUUGGUAGCGCUAAAUAAGCAUCUAAGCCUGUAACUGCAGAGACCAAAGAGCUUUCUAUUACACUCCUGGGAAAGAAAUCCUAAGGUACUGUGGCUUUAUAGCUAUCUUUUCCCUUUUAAACACUCAUCCGUUUUCCUCCCUCAGUUGUAGCCCUCACACUGUAUUGUAAUUGCCUUUUCACUUGUCUUUGUCUCUACGAUAAGGUCACCUUCUAAGAGGCAGGGGCUGUGUUUUAAUUGCUUAUUCUGUAUUCCCAAUAACCAGGACAAGCCCAGGAUGUAGUUGAUGUUAGUUAAUAACAACACAGUCUGUUAAGCACACUACACACCAGGCAUGUUACGUUAUAACAUGAAUUAUAAUAAUUCACAAUGAUCCCAUAAGGUAAGGUCUGUUAACCCCAUUUUACAAAUAAAGAAACCAAGAUUUAGGGAGGUUAAGUAGCUUUCUAAAAAUCACAAUGAAUAAGUAGAAGAACCAAGAUUUGAACCCAGGCAGUCUGGAUGUUGAGCCGCCCCCUCCCCCCAUAGUUACUACCCUGGGCCACUUCAAGGAAGUGAAUGUUUUUCCAAAACAGUGGCUGGCAAAGGCCUUGGGUAAUCUGAGACUCAGAAACCAAUGUAUUUAAUUUUCCUGCUCCAGGUCUUUGUACAUUAUCUUGUGGGAGGAAAAUGCCUAAAGUCAAAAGAAGCAGGAAAGCUCCCCCAGAUGGCUGGGAGUUGAUUGA